UGGGGAAUCUUCCGCAAUGGACGAAAGUCUGACGGAGCAACGCCGCGUGAGUGAAGACGGCCUUCGGGUUGUAAAGCCCUGUUAUUCGGGAAGAACGAUUCGUUUGUGAACAAUGAACGGAAGUGACGGUACCGAAAGAGAAAGCCACGGCUAACUACGUGCCAGCAGCCGCGGUAAUACGUAGGUGGCAAGCGUUGUCCGGAAUUAUUGGGCGUAAAGAGCGCGUAGGCGGUAUGGUAAGUCUGUCUUAGAAGUGCGGGGCUUAACCCCGUGAGGGGACAGAGACUGUAAUACUGGAGUCUCGGAGAGGAAAGCGAAAUGCCUAGUGUAGCGGUGAAAUGCGUAGAGAUUAGGAAGAACACCGGUGGGGAAGGCGGCUUUCUGGACGAGCACUGACGCUGAGGCGCGAAAGCGUGGGGAGCGAACAGG
rnacentral:rRNA from 1 species